UUUUUUUUUUCUCCCUCCUUUUCUUUUUUACCCUAUUUUAUCUUUCUUUUUUCACUAUCUCUCCACAUCUUUUUCUUCCUCACAUUUCACCUACAAUUUCGAGAUGAAAAAAAAACAUACCAGAUCCAUCAUCGGCUACCUCCGGCCACCUCAUGUAUCGCUAACAUUUGUCGUCCACUCAGACCGCACCUAAAACCAGGUAGAACAGAGAUAGAGGUGGUACAGAGGGUGGAGAGGAGAAAAACUCGGUUGCUAUCGUCGGCGGAGACAAGGAUGACGGUAAAAGCUUUGUCUUGUCAGAAAGAGUAACACUCUGUUCCCGAGUGUCACUUAAUGACGGAAGUGGAGAGAAAGUGAGGGAAUCAGAUAGAAAGAGUAAGCCAUCGUGUUCCCAAUUUUUUUUUUGGAAUGAUUUGGGAAUAAAAGAAAGGAAAUCAGAUGAUAAUCUUCCUCAGAAAUUGGAAAGAUUUGGAGAGAAGAGAAUCUUUGAUAAGGAUAACAACACACAGUUUACCAAUUUAUCCUUAUUAACCCUAUAUAGGAUCAUGUAUCAUACACAACACAUAAAAAUAUUUCUUCAACCUCUGGUCCUGCUGUCGGCUUCCAUCAUCCAUCAUCCAUCAUAUAUUUCAUUAUCCUCUCCACUGCAUUAUAUUCUUUUUUUUGUUAUAGUAUGAAUCGAUUAUAUAGAAUCGUGUAUAAUAUGAAUCAAUUAUAUGGUUUCAUUA